GUGCAGCCAAUUAAGCCGACCUCUCUGUCACUGGGGACCUAAUGAGCAAUGGCUGCAUACAGCAAGCAACCUCCUUCAUACAGUAUGCAGUUUGUGGCUUGUAUGAGGCAUUCUAAAGGACCUUGGAGACAGUU